CCCACACCAACUCCCCAGCCGCCGCCAUCCUCCUCUCAAUUUCGCCAUCCUCCAUGAUCUGCGCCAAUCCUCGCCACCACUGCUCCAAUUCUCCGCCACCCGUUGACUUGACAUCAGCUGACCAAAUCCCCGUCCACCCACCCAAAUUCCCCGCUGCCUCUCCACUGGUUCCCAGCCCUUCAUCUUCCCCCAAAUCGAGCUCGAUUAAAUGCGCAGCUCAAAGGAGCUGCCCAAGGAGAAGGAAGAGAAGAGCAGUGCUCGGGAAGAGAAGCGUUCAGCUGCCGUCACCAUCGCUGCUACUUUGUUCGAGCUCAUCCCGCCGCACGAUUGACUGAUGGCCACGAGGCACAGGGAGUGGUCCUUCCCCAACUCCCCGCUCACCCCAUCCUCUGGCACCAGGUAACCAGCCGCUUGUGCUUUUCUCCCUGCCUUGUAGAUCCCCUUGGUCCUGGUCUGAUCUGCUGCAGGUGGGGGUGGGAUUUGCCGUUGCUGCUGCUACUAACUUGGGGAUAGGAGACCUAGAUGAGGAUGUCAUGGAUUUAUUCUCUCUCAGUUUCAAUUUUGAUUAUUCUACUCUACAUCACUAUCGGCUACUUUGUUAGAUUCUACUGGAUCCGGCACCUGUUGGCAUGCACAGAUUAUCCAUGGUACUGAUAUCGACGAUCCCCUAUUCUAUUCCAAGAUCUGUGCGAAUCUACUGAUACUAUUGUUUUAUUCCUGCUCUGUUCCUUAGUGUCGCCAAUAUUUUGGACAAGCAAGGGAGUCAAUUGAAAAGAAAAACCAUAACUUUGUAUUUUGGUAUUAGGUUUAUUAAAACCUGCUGUCUACUGCUCGCAGGAUAGAAUUUGUAGCACCAGCCGCAGUCUGCUCUUGCUUUUUGGCUUUGUGCUCUGUAACCUGCUUUGCUCAAAAUGUUACUAGCAGGAUAGCAUCACAGAAUAGUGGAAAACAACUACAGACAUAUUACUGUGAACAAUUAUGGUUGGAACACAGAUGUAUCUUGAUAACAUAUAUGGAAGCCCUUGUACUUAUCUUCGCUAACUAAAUGAGCUAUUAGGUUUGUUUCAGAGAAGCAAUCUCUGUCAGUUCUUAAAUUAGAUGGCUGCAGCAUGCUUUGGUUUAUUCUGAGGACCAUAUCUAUUUGGAAUCGAGUUAUUAUCAAUAAAAAGUCAUAUGCACUGAUAGUCCUACAACUAUUUAAUACUAUUUAAACCGUUGGUGUAUAAUACUAUAUCUCUUUCGAAUCGAGUUAUCAAUAUAAAGUCAGUGAUGGUCCGACAACUAUUUAAAGUGUUGGUGUAUAAAUUGAACUUGAAGUGUUUAACAGAAUGAUGAAUGGAGAACAUAUCUACACGUGUGUUGUUCUUAUAACCUACAAAUACGAGGAAUCAAGAAGUUGCUCUCAUGUGUCAGUCCUCUUAGGUCUUGGCUCUAUAAGUUUCAGUUGACAUUAAUGACACCUAUAGCUAUUCUCUUAUAUUUAUUAACGACUUGGCUCGAAUAAUUUUAAAAUCCCUACAUGUAACUUAUUAACCCUGGGUCGUCUCUUGCUUUUUGCUUAUAUUCAUUUUUUACUUAGUAACAACUUGUUGUUUCUAUACAGAUUCAUGAAGCUGGAAGCCUGUAAAGGCAUCAAGUAAAGAGCAGGUCACUUCAGGUAAUCCAACAUUAGCCAAUGAGGUGCCGACCAAAGAAACACAUCAGGAGAUUACUCAGUCCAUGUGCAAGCAUGGUUUUUAUCUAAUUAAUGAAGGGGGAGAAACACUACCUUCCUGCUUCCUGAUAAAGGGGGAGACAAAAGCUUCAAGUUUGCAGAUACCCAAGCCUUUUGCAGAGAAGAGAGAUUCUAAACUGAACAAGGAUUACCAUGCAGGCGGAUUUGCUAAAAACUGUUAGUGAAAUUUUGGUAGUGAGUUUUAGGUGUUAGUGAGCUAAGCUUUUGGAUAGAAUGGUGGAUGUAUCACUUUUGGUCAUAUGAUAGGAUGUAGAGGUAGAGAUGUUGAUGGCUUGCUCAUGCACAGACUUCAUGUUUGCGAGCUUCUAAUCUAUUUUGUACUUGUAUGAUGUUGAAUCUGACUGGCCAUAUAUUGUGCUAGCCCAUAUAUCAAUGAAUCAAUGUCAAUGUUUUAUCUUCAUAUUAAUGAAUGUCCUUG
rnacentral:lncRNA from 1 species